rnacentral:rRNA from 1 species
UACGUAGGGUGCAAGCAUUAAUCGGAUUUAUUGGGCGUAAAGGGCGCGUAGGCGGGGAGGAAAGUUAAAUGUGAAAUCCCGGGGCUCAACUCCGGAACCGCAUUUAAUACUUCCUUUCUAGAGGAUGAGCGGAGAAAAUGGAAUUCCACGUGUAGCGGUGAAAUGCGUAGAUAUGUGGAGGAACACCGGUGGCGAAGGCGAUUUUCUAGCUUAGACCUGACGCUGAGGCGCGAAAGCAAGGGUAGCAAACAGG